AGGAGAAAGUGACAUACACGAGAAGUGGAGCCUAUAAAUAACAGGUAGUUCUGGGCUGUAUAACAAAGCUAAGUCUUGCAUGAACCUUAGUGAUCCAGCAAGUAAUGUUCUGCUAUGAUUUCUGCUUCAAUUUCUACCCUGACUUUCUUCAAUGUUGGACUGUGAGCUGUAUUGUGUCAUCUAUACCAGCACAAGAAGGAAGAUAAGGAUGAGAUUUAAGAAUAAUCUUCAUCAUGCUGCUGCAGAAGACAGAAGAUGAAAAUACCUGGUAGAGAACGAAGGUUAUAGAAUCUUUAAAGGUGGCUCAAGGUGAAAUGAGCAGCAUACCAGCAAAAGAAAGCUAGCUGAAACAAGCCAGUAGCAGCAUCUCUCAACAGAUUUUCUUCAGAUUUCCUUUCUCCUCUUUUAUGCUUGAAUACCUGCCCUGACUUCCCUUCAUGAUAGACCAUGACAUGGAGGCGUAAGGCAAAUAAACCUGUUCCUCCCC
rnacentral:lncRNA from 1 species